rnacentral:rRNA from 1 species
GACGAACGCUGGCGGCGUGCUUAACACAUGCAAGUCGAACGGAAAGGCCCUGCUUUUGUGGGGUUCUCGAGUGGCGAACGGGUGAGUAACACGUGAGUAACCUGCCCCUGACGUUGGGAUAACUUCAGGAAACUGGGGCUAAUACCGGAGAGGAGCUCCUGCUGCAUGGUGGGGGUUGGAAAGUUUCGGCGGUUGUGGAUGGACUCGCGGCUUAUCAGCUUGUUGGUGGGGUAGUGGCUUACCAAGGCUUUGACGGGUAGCCGGCCUGAGAGGGUGACCGGCCACAUUGGGACUGAGAUACGGACCAGACUCGUACGGGAGGCAGCAGUGGGGAAUAUUGCACAAUGGGCGGAAGCCUGAUGCAGCAACGCCGCAUGCGGGAUGACGGCCUUCGGGUUGUAAACCGCUUUCGCCUGUGACGAAGCGUGAGUGACGGUAAUGGGUAAAGAAGCACCGGCUAACUACGUG